rnacentral:rRNA from 1 species
UUACCUGGGUUUGACAUGUAACUGCUACUGAUAGAAAUAUUGGGUUCUGUAGAAAUACAGACGGUUACACAGGUGCUGCAUGGCUGUCGUCAGCUCGUGUCGUGAGACGUCGGGUUAAGUCCUUGAACGAGCGCAACCCUUGCCGUUAGUUGCCUGUCGUAAGGCGGCACUCUAGCGGGACUGCCUAGGAAACUAGGAGGAAGGUGGGGAUGACGUCAAGUCCUCAUGGCCCUUAUACCCAGGGCUACACGCGUGUUACAAUGGCGAGCUACAAGGGGAUACGAAGUCGCGAGAUGGAGUAAAUCCUUCAAAAUUCGUCUAAGUUCAGAUUGUAGUCUGCAACCCGACUACAUGAAGUUGAAAUCGCUAGUAAUCGCAUAUCAGAACGAUGCGGUGAAUGCGUUCUCGGACCUUGUACACACCGCCCGUCACACCAUGAGAGCCGUCGGCACCCGAAAUUAUCUUAACUAACUGGGAAACCAGGGGUGGAUAAUGAAGGUGAAGAGGGUGAUUGGGGUGAAGUCGUAACAAGGUAGCC